rnacentral:tRNA from 1 species
UGGGGUGUGGCUUAGCGGUACAGCACUCACCUACCACGUUCGAGUCCCUGGGUUCGAUCCUCAGCACCACAU